UACGUAGGGCGCAAGCGUUAUCCGGAAUUAUUGGGCGUAAAGAGCUUGUAGGCGGUUUGGCGCGUCUGCUGUGAAAGUCCGGGGCUCAACUCCGGAUCUGCGGUGGGUACGGGCAGACUAGAGUGAUGUAGGGGAGACUGGAAUUCCUGGUGUAGCGGUGAAAUGCGCAGAUAUCAGGAGGAACACCGAUGGCGAAGGCAGGUCUCUGGGCAUUAACUGACGCUGAGGAGCGAAAGCAUGGGGAGCGAACAGG
rnacentral:rRNA from 1 species